rnacentral:rRNA from 1 species
AAUAUUGGACAAUGGGGGCAACCCUGAUCCAGCCAUGACGCGUGUGUGAAGAAGGUCUUCGGAUUGUAAAGCACUUUAAGUUGGGAGGCAGGGCUUUAGGCUACUACUCUGUAGAAUUGACGUUACCAACAGAAUAAGCACCGGCUAACUCUGUGCGUGCAGCCGCUGUAAUACAGAGUGUGCAAGCGUUAAUCGGAAUUACUGGGCGUAAAGCGCGCGUAGGUGGUUCAGUAAGAUGGGAGUGAAAUCCCCGGGCUUAACCUGGGAACUGCUUUCAUAACUGCUGAGCUAGAGUACGGUAGAGGGUAGUGGAAUUUCCUGUGUAGCGGUGAAAUGCGUAGAUAUAGGAAGGAACACCAGUGGCGAAGGCGACUACCUGGACUGAUACUGACACUGAGGUGCGAAAGCGUGGGGAGCAAAC